UGGGCACUAUGUUUACAGUGACAAUACUGU
rnacentral:piRNA from 1 species